rnacentral:rRNA from 1 species
AGUGAACGCUGGCGGUAGGCCUAACACAUGCAAGUCGAACGGCAGCACAGGAGAGCUUGCUCUCUGGGUGGCGAGUGGCGGACGGGUGAGGAAUACAUCGGAAUCUACUUUUUCGUGGGGGAUAACGUAGGGAAACUUACGCUAAUACCGCAUACGACCUUCGGGUGAAAGCAGGGGACCUUCGGGCCCUGCGCGAUUAAAUGAGCCGAUGUCGGAUUAGCUAGUUGGCGGGGUAAAGGCCCACCAAGGCGACGAUCCGUAGCUGGUCUGAGAGGAUGAUCAGCCACACUGGAACUGAGACACGGUCCAGACUCCUACGGGAGGCAGCAGUGGGGAAUAUUGGACAAUGGGCGCAAGCCUGAUCCAGCCAUACCGCGUGGGUGAAGAAGGCCUUCGGGUUGCAAAGCCCUUUUGUUGGGAAAGAAAAGCAGUCGGUUAAUACCCGAUUGUUCUGACGGUACCCAAAGAAUAAGCACCGGCUAACUUCGUGCCAGCAGCCGCCGUAAGAC